CAAGGGAUGGCUAGGCCCACCUCCUCGCCACUCAGUUCGGCAUGGCGACUUACGUGAAGCCAAGGCUCUGUGGCCUAGUCACAGAAAGGAGGGAUACUGAGAGUAAAAAUCCUGUUCGUGAGCCCCAGCGAGACCAAACACCUACACUGUUUGGAUCUAGUGUGACAGUUCAAGUCAAGAAGACAUCCCCAGGCCUUGAAUAUUACUGAACAUUUUCAACUUGUAAAUGGUGCAAGCUGUGAAGAGUUGAAUCCAAGGAUAUAAAGGACUGAAUGAGUAUUCUAAGUGUCUCUCUCAGCUAUGGUAUGGUGAGCAAAGAUCAGCCCUCCACAUGUAAUUGAGCUGCAAUUCCCAGCACAUGCCCCUCCGCUGGUCAAGCUGGUGAAGACUGAUGGGAGUUGCCAAGUCUGGAAGGAAAAAUAUUAUGUCCUCCUGAGCAAUACAAAAUGGCCCUGAUUCAGUAGCAGAUUAUGUGCUUUCUGUAGCAGACGGAUCCAGGAUUCUGUCUCUUGCACUGCUAUUUUAAAUGGAUCCGGUAGCAAUGGUGGGAUGCCUAUGAGACUGGAUAGGUGGCCUGUGGCUAAUCUAGAUUAGGAAGUAAGGUACUUCCAAUCAAGGCAGGUCCUGUCCAAUCCGAGUAUUUUAGAAGAGAUUGAAACCAGAAUAUUACAUAUUAUAUUGGCAAGGUCACUAUGUUGUCCCCACAGUUUCAUCCCCCUUUUCCCUUUCAACAGAAAAUCUGUCAAAGAGGGGAAGAGCAGUUGCACAAGGCCUUUUUCUCCCUAUCUAGAAGUAUUCAUGCAAUCUCUCACCUGACAUAUAGUCUCUUGUAGUUCUUUUCAAUCCCAGCUCCACUCAACCAUCUUUGUCCUGUUCCAUGUGGUUUCUCUUGUCUGUCAGUUUCCUCAUCCUUAAACCACAAACUGAUUUGUUGACUUAUUCCCC